rnacentral:rRNA from 1 species
AUUGAACGCUGGCGGCAGGCCUAACACAUGCAAGUCGAGCGGAUGAAGGGAGCUUGCUCCUGGAUUCAGCGGCGGACGGGCGAGUAAUGCCUAGGAAUCUGCCUGGUAGUGGGGGAUAACGUCCGGUAACGGGCGCUAAUACCGCAUACGUCCUGAUGGUGAAAGUGGGGGAUCUUUGGACCUCACGCUAUCAGAUGAGCCUAGGUCGGAUUAGCUAGUUGGUGGGGUAAAGGCCUACCAAGGCGACGAUCCGUAACUGGUCUGAGAGGAUGAUCAGUCACACUGGAACUGAGACACGGUCCAGACUCCUACGGGAGGCAGCAGUGGGGAAUAUUGGACAAUGGGCGAAAGCCCGAUCGAGCCAUGCCGCGUGUGUGAAGAAGGUCUUCGGAUUGUAAAGCACUUUAAGUUGGGAGGAAGGGCAGUAAGUUAAUACCUUGCUGUUUUGACGUUACCAACAGAAUAAGCACCGGCUAACUUCGUG